rnacentral:rRNA from 1 species
UCCGUAGGUGAACCUGCGGAGGGAUCAUUACCGAGUUUACAACUCCCAAACCCCUGUGAACAUACCUAUACGUUGCCUCGGCGGAUCAGCCCGCGCCCCGUAAAAAGGGACGGCCCGCCCGAGGACCCCUAAACUCUGUUUUUAGUGGAACUUCUGAGUAAAACAAACAAAUAAAUCAAAACUUUCAACAACGGAUCUCUUGGUUCUGGCAUCGAUGAAGAACGCAGCAAAAUGCGAUAAGUAAUGUGAAUUGCAGAAUUCAGUGAAUCAUCGAAUCUUUGAACGCACAUUGCGCCCGCCAGUAUUCUGGCGGGCAUGCCUGUUCGAGCGUCAUUUCAACCCUCAAGCUCAGCUUGGUGUUGGGACUCGCGGUAACCCGCGUUCCCCAAAUCGAUUGGCGGUCACGUCGAGCUUCCAUAGCGUAGUAAUCAUACACCUCGUUACUGGUAAUCGUCGCGGCCACGCCGUAAAACCCCAACUUCUGAAUGUUGACCUCGGAUCAGGUAGGAAUACCCGCUGAACUUA